GACUCCAUAGACUAAAGGUUAGGUCACAAGCCUUUCACGCUUGUAAUAGGGGUUCGAAUCCCCUUGGAGUCA
rnacentral:tRNA from 1 species